CUGAGGCUCAGUCACUGUAUUCCAGGCACUGUUCCAGGCUCUGGGGAUAGGGGUAACAUCCUGUUGUUGCAGAGCUUACAUCACAGUGGACAGAUCAGUGGAUAACCUAGCAAAUCAACAGAAUGACCCAUGCACAAGUGGGAUAAAUAGAAAACAAAUGAUGCAGGUGCUGUUCAAGAAUUUCAUGUGAGUAAUGUGAUAAAUAAUGUUACAAUAGUUAGGGUGGGGAAUUUGGGAGCAAGGCGUUUGUGCAGAGGUCUGAAUGAACCAGAAAGCAACGGUGUGUUGGCAGGGGCACCACUGGAAUCUUUUAUUUCCAUUGAGAACGGACCUGAGCUGAGAUAUUUGAUAUCUACAGAUGCAAAAACUUGACUGAGACUGAAGAGGACACCUCAGAUUGGAAAUUUGUUAUGCUCUGUGUGUACUGGGAGAAAGCCACAGUUAAGAGACAUCUCAAGAAAGGACUCGACAUCUGAAUCUGUGUGUGGUGACACAUAGCUGUAAUCCAGAAUUUUGGAGUUGGAGACAGGAAGAUGAGAGUGAGUUCAAGGCCAACCUUGGCUAUAUAGUAAGUUCCAGGCUUGCCUGGAUUUGUGGGAACUGAUCCAAGAAAACAGAAAGGAACAUAAAAUCCAAGUAACAUAGGAAGUGGCCUGUGAAGACUGACAGCAUCUUACUUGGAAUGCUGAAACAAAGAACUUUUUGGCAGAAUAAAAACAUAAGAACACCACUUUGAAGCA
rnacentral:lncRNA from 1 species